UGUCCCUGCUCCCUCUGGCUUCUGCGUGGGGGCUAUUGAUAAGUUUCCAUACGGCUGUCCAUGCUUCCAUACUGUUUUGGGACAUGUCUAUACUUUGUGUGAGGUUCUGCCUUGACUUCCAUCUUUUCUCCAUCAGUGCUGAGACCACUUCUUCACAAGCUCUGAUGCUUUCCAUGGAACAAAUGGAUGCUGCUGCCAGUGGCCACUCCUAGUCCUCUGAGGCCUAGUCGAGAGGACAGGAGCAGAUCCACCAACCUCUGAAUCGAAGUCAACAAUAGAGGAAGUCCACAAGCAAAGAAAGCACUGACUCCUCCUUUCUUCUCUUGUGAAAAUGGCAGUAACCCCAGGGACAGAAAUGCAUCUUGCUCUUGCAUUUGACAGUUGUACAGUAUUGCUUGUCCUUGGUGUACAGGAAUUGUAAUAAUCUGAUACUGUAGAUAGUCUUACAUAAAUGUCUUCCUGUUACAUAGUUAUUAGGGACACAUUUUGAGGAGUAAAGGAUAGCAAUAUAUGAACACCUUUUCUUAAACUAUUGAUUCAUCAUUCUAAAA